rnacentral:lncRNA from 1 species
CAUAAAUGACAAUGAGAUAGAAGAUGAUAUAUUAGUCAAUUAUUGUGAUAUGGAGAAGGACCUACACAUUGAGAAAGAUACGGAUAUUGAUGAGUAGAUCUAUAUCUUUUGUUGAAUCUUUUCUUACAAUAAUGGUAUGUGAUAUAAUUCUAUUCAUUAGAAUGUAAUUUUUUUACUAUUAUUAUUCAAUAUUAUAUUCAUUUAUAUGUCAAAAAUGAUAGGUGUAGCACCAGGAGACAAACGAUGAUGUUCGCAUUCGCAGUCUACCCCUGAGGCUGAGGCAUCUUCAUCCAUUUUCACUGCUACACC